GACGAACGCUGGCGGCGUGCCUAAUACAUGCAAGUCGACCUUAGUGGCGAACGGGUGAGUAACACGUGGGUAACCUGCCCAUCAGAAGGGGAUAACACUUGGAAACAGGUGCUAAUACCGUAUACUGAUGGAUGGACCCGCGGUGCAUUAGCUAGUUGGUGAGGUAACGGCUCACCAAGGCCACGAUGCAUAGCGGCCCUGAGAGGUGGAUCGGCAACAAUGGGACUGAGACACGGCGCAAACUACUACGGGAGGCAGCAGUAGGGAAUCUUGGGCAAUGGACGAAAGUCUGACCGAGCAAUGCCGCGUGAGUGAAGAAGGGUUUCGGAGCGGAAAGUUCUGUUGUUGGAGAAGCGGUAUCUAACCAGAAAGCCACGGCUAACUCCGUGCCAGCCGCCGCGGUAAUUC
rnacentral:rRNA from 1 species